rnacentral:rRNA from 1 species
GAGUGAGGAAGGCUUUCGGGUCGUAAAGCUCUGUUGCCAGGGAAGAAUAAGGAUGAGAGUAACUGCUCAUUCGAUGACGGUACCUGAGAAGAAAGCCCCGGCUAACUACGUGCCAGCAGCCGCGGUAAUACGUAGGGGGCAAGCGUUGUCCGGAAUUAUUGGGCGUAAAGCGCGCGCAGGCGGUUCUUUAAGUCUGGUGUCUAAGUGCGGGGCUCAACCCCGUGAUGCACUGGAAACUGGGGAACUUGAGUGCAGAAGAGGAGAGCGGAAUUCCACGUGUAGCGGUGAAAUGCGUAGAGAUGUGGAGGAACACCAGUGGCGAAGGCGGCUCUCUGGACUGUAACUGACGCUGAGGCGCGAAAGCGUGGGGAGCAAACAGGAUUAGAUACCCUGGUAGUCCACGCUGUAAACGAUGAGUGCUAGGUGUUGGGGGUAUCAUGCCCUCGGUGCCGAAGUUAACACAUUAAGCACUCCGCCUGGGGAGUACGGUCGCAAGACUG